rnacentral:rRNA from 1 species
GGUUGAUCCCGCCGGAGGUCACUACUAUUGGGAUUCGACUAAGCCAUGCGAGUCGCGAGGGUUCGGCCCUCGGCUGACGGCUCAGUAACACGCGGAUAAUCUGCCCUUAGGUGGAGGAUAAUCUCGGGAAACUGAGAAUAAUAUUCCAUAGAUUUAGGAUGCUGGAAUGCACUUAAAUUAAAAGCUUCGGCGCCUAAGGAUGAGUGUGCGGACUAUCAGGUUGUACUCACGCUAACGACCUGACUAGCCUNAGAAGGAGUAGGGUUGUGAGAGCAAGAACCCGGACAUGAUAUCUGAUACUAGAUAUUCAGGGUCAUACGUGGCGC